rnacentral:rRNA from 1 species
UACGUAGGGGGCUAGCGUUGUCCGGAAUCAUUGGGCGUAAAGAGCGUGUAGGCGGUCCGGUAAGUCCGCUGUGAAAGUCGGGGGCUCAACCCUCGGAUGCCGGUGGAUACUGUCGGGCUAGAGUGCGGAAGAGGCGAGUGGAAUUCCUGGUGUAGCGGUGAAAUGCGCAGAUAUCAGGAGGAACACCUAUUGCGAAGGCAGCUCGCUGGGACGUAACUGACGCUGAGACGCGAAAGCGUGGGGAGCAAACAGG